rnacentral:rRNA from 1 species
AGGAAUCUGCCUGGUAGUGGGGGACAACGUUUCGAAAGGAACGCUAAUACCGCAUACGUCCUACGGGAGAAAGCAGGGGACCUUCGGGCCUUGGCGCUAUCAGAUGAGCCUAGGUCGGAUUAGCUAGUUGGUGAGGUAAUGGCUCACCAAGGCGACGAUCCGUAACUGGUCUGAGAGGAUGAUCAGUCACACUGGAACUGAGACACGGUCCAGACUCCUACGGGAGGCAGCAGUGGGGAAUAUUGGACAAUGGGCGAAAGCCUGAUCCAGCCAUGCCGCGUGUGUGAAGAAGGUCUUCGGAUUGUAAAGCACUUUAAGUUGGGAGGAAGGGCAUUAACCUAAUACGUUAGUGUUUUGACGUUACCGACAGAAUAAGCACCGGCUAACUCUGUGCCAGCAGCCGCGGUAAUACAGAGGGUGCAAGCGUUAAUCGGAAUUACUGGGCGUAAAGCGCGCGUAGGUGGUUUGUUAAGUUGGAUGUGAAAGCCCCGGGCUCAACCUGGGAACUGCAUCCAAAACUGGCAAGCUAGAGUACGGUAGAGGGUGGUGGAAUUUCCUGUGUAGCGGUGAAAUGCGUAGAUAUAGGAAGGAACACCAGUGGCGAAGGCGACCACCUGGACUGAUACUGACACUGAGGUGCGAAAGCGUGGGGAGCAAA